GCCGGUGUAGCUCAGCGGUAGAGCAGCUGUUUUGUAAACAGCAGGUCGUGGGUUCGACUCCUAUCACCGGCUCCA
rnacentral:tRNA from 1 species